AAGACAUCACUGAAGCAAGAAGAGAGUCUUGGAAGAAGCUUGAUCAACCAAGACACACUUGCCACAAUUCAAGCCAUCUCAGCUCCAAGAUAGACAUCAAAUGAGCAAGUAACAUAUGUGUGCUCUUUUUCCCUAUCUUUGGUUUUGUCCCACUGGGUUUUCCAAAGAUAGGUUUUUAAUGAGGCCAUAUGUUGCUUUCCUAUCACUCAUUUGAUGAUCUCAGUUCAAGACUUUAUUUUAAUUAUUUAUCUUUGUUAACAUGAAGCAGAAUUAGGCUGCUAGACUUGAGAAUUAGGCUGCUAGACUUGAGAAUUAAGCUGCCAGACUUGAGAACCCUUAUAAGGUUUUAUAAAGUUUUUAUAAGAUUUUAUAAGGUUUAUUUUUAAGGCCCAUUUAGAGACCAAGGAGCCUGUUCCUUGCCUUCUCUAUAAAUACAAGGUUUUUAUAAGGUUUUAUAAGGUUUAUUUUAAGGCCCAUUUAGAGACCAAGGAGCCUGUUCCUUGCCUUCUCUAUAAAGUUUUUAUAAGAUUUUAUAAGGUUUAUUUUUAAGGCCCAUUUAGAGACCAAGGAGCCUGUUCCUUGCCUUCUCUAUAAAUAUGUGUCUGAAAACCCUAAUAGAUCUAUCCAAUCUUUAUUUCUAAACUCUUGUUUCUCUCUAGUCGGCCACAAGCUUGUCUUGUAGAUCUGAGAUUUCUUGAGUCUUUGUUAGUGUGUCAUAUCUAACAAAACCACAAGAGUGAUUGUCUUGGUGUGUCAUAUCCAAGGGAUUCACUUAGGAGUAUCAAGGAGACCUCUCACAUCUCUUUGUGUCACCAUUCAUUCCACAAAUCUUGAAGCAGAUUGAGUCUUUGAUUCUCUGUUUGCAAGGAUCUAUCCCAUUCCAACCAGAGAAGCAUCCUAGGAGUGUAUUAUGUGGUAUCAGAGCAACUCUGGCUAGCGAAGUUCUCGUUUUCUUUAAGUUUUCACUCAAAUCUGUCUCUUGGUUUCAUAAGAAGCAUCCUAGGAGUGUAUUACAUAAAGUGGUGGAGAAUCACCAGGAAGUUGAAUAAAUCUCAUAGGAGUUGGCAUGAAGUUAUGUGGUAUCAGAGCAACUCUGGCUAGCGAAGUUCUCGUUUUCUUUAAGUUUUCACUCAAAUCUGUCUCUUGGUUUCAUAACUAUUGAUAGAUCUGAGUUUUGUUGUGUUGUUUCUGUCGAUUUGAUUCACUCUGAGUUCAGUAUUGCAAGAUCUGUUGCUGUGUGUUUUUAAAUUGAUAGAUCUGAAAGUUUCUAUUUUAGAUCUGUGAUAGAUCUGAUCAUCUCUUGUUGUUUCUUUGAUUGAUCUAUGAUUGUGUUGUUGAGUUUUAAUAGAUUCAAGCUUGUUGAUCUCGUUUCUGAUAAAAACUUUUUAUAUUCUUGUUGCAGAAGUAAUCGAUUUGCUUAAUCUGUUUCUGUUUUGGAUUUGUGUGAUUCCGAUCUGUUCGUAUUGCUUUGAAUAUAAUCUAUCUUGUUUGGUUGAUUAGAUUUCGAAUUUAAUCUGUCUCUGUUUAAGAUUGAUCGAUCAUAUUGCGUUGGUGAAUUGUUCUGAUUAUCAAACUGUUUUAUUUGAUUUGCUUGUCGUUAUAAAAUUGAUCUGUUGUUAAUUCUGAGUGUUGUUUCUCUUAGAACUAGUUACUGGUUUCUGUUUUAUUUGUGUCUCAGGUACCAACGGAGAAGGAGCACAAAGGAAAACAUCAGCCAAAGAAAAAUAGAGAAUGCUCAAGAUCAACCAGAGAUGAGUACAGGCAAAAAGAGUUUGACCAGUUUGACAGGAACCGGAAGCAUGCUGUCUAUGAAUUUCAAAUCCCUCCAUUCCAUGGCAUGGCGGCUCCUGAAGCUUAUGUGAAGUGGGAAAAGAAGAUUGAGUUGAUUUUCAGUAGUCAACACUAUGCUGAAAGAAAGAAGAUUCAAAUGGCUACUGCUGAGUUUUGUGGUCAUGCUUUAAGAUGGUGGAAUCAGUUGAUAAAGUGCAGAAGACUUGAUGGAAAAGAACCAGUGGAAACAUGGCUUAAGCUGAGGGCUUUGAUGCGUAGAGAGUACGUUCCAAGACAGUACCACAAGGAAGUUUUUCAAAAGCGGCCUGAGACAAAGCUAUGUUCUUCAUUAUCAGUUCAGAAACAACCAGACCGCAAGAGAUCAAGUCCAUCUAGUAACCUGGUUUCAUCAAGCAAAACAUCAACCCAUUCCUUUGAAGAUAGCAUAAGGAAGGCAAUUUCACAAGCGUUUAGGGAUGUGAAGAAACAAUUUAAACAGUCCAAGACUAUAUCUCCAUCCUUAGAAGUACAGAACCAAGCGCCUUCCUCAACUGUCUCAGAACUCAAAGAUGCAGAACCAGACUCAGUUGCACAAUCAGACUUGGCUGCACUACUUCAAGAAGAUCAAACUGAGAUUCCAACAAUCACCAUUCAGAAAGAUGAUCAACCCAUCAAGGACGACCUGAUUCUCUUCGAACAGGAUGUAAUAGAAGAGGAGGCACCCAUGAAAUCAAAAUCAGACAGUGGAGUAGAGCAUCUAUUUGUCACUGAUUCAAACGGUUUCCAAAGGACAUUCUUGGGUACUUUUCUCAUCAGUCCUUUUUUGUGGAACAAGACCAGAGCAGUAGAGAUUUCAAGACACGAACUGGGCAUGGAACAUGUUGUAUUUGAUCCUGGAGGAGAGUUGUGGAAUCACAGGAACAAUCCCUUAGUGAUUGAGAAGAAAUCGGCAGCAACAACAAUUGUUUUUGAUGAUCUUUUACCCUCUGAAGCUAAAGGGAUGCACGUCUCUGCUCAGCAAGAGUUUCACUACGAAACCAAUUGGAGAAUGUUACCCACUCUUUCCUGGAUCCAACAAACCAGAAAACGCAGCAAAUGGUCUCCUGAUCAUCAAGAUAUUGUCAAUUCCGCAAAACAUAUCGGUUUAGCCAAAUUCUGUGAGCUGCUUAUAUCAGAUUGGGGUGGAAGGUUACAGUUCUACUUGUGGAAACCUGGAGCAUAUGCCAGCAUACUUAUCAUCCUUGGAGAGUGCUCUGCUCGAGGUAGAACCAGUUGGGUAAUAAAGAGUUGGAAGCUGAUCAAAAUGCCUUGCUUCUUGAUCAUGUCAAGGUGUGGAAGCCACCAGAUUUGCAAAAGCUUCAAUACCAUUUCAGAGAUUAUCAAACCAAGAGUGGAGAUGGAGAUUUCACUAGAGUAAAUGGUGAAGUGAUUACUGGAAUAGGAGGAGAACUCAUUUUUUCUUCUCGAAUCAAGGAGAAACCACUAGAUGGAAUCAGUCUACAUCAAUCUCCAAAUAAACCAACCCGAGGUAAUUAUCUAGAUUCAAAGAAACGCAUGAAACCUGAUUUGCUUUCUAUUGGUACAGGUCAAACAGUUCUGAGUACUAGAAUUUUCGAAAAGAGAGACUAUAGUAAUGAUCAGAGUAUCAAGAAUGGAUCUUUGGCUAAAUUGGAGAUGCAACAAUCAAAUCUUGGAAGCUGUCUAGCCGCCAACUCUGACAUAGGAGCAGUCCGAGGAUCAUAUAUUGGAGAUGCAACAAUCAAAUCUUGGAAGCUGUCUAGCCGCCAGCUUUGACAUAGGAGCAGUCCGAGGAUCAUAUCUCAACAACCAAAAGGAAUUAAGCAACAAACUCGACUGCAAUAGAAACUUAACUCAUCUGGGUCUCACGUCGAAUUGGAAUCAUGUCCAAAGCUUCUCAGGUGAAAUAGUUAUGAGUUUUAGAAGUCGGGUGAUCCUGUGUUUGCUUUGUUUGAAAUUUUCUGAGUUUAGAACAUCUCAAUUCUAUCUAUGGCGACCAGGUGAGUAUGUUAAUGUAAGUGAUCAUGUUCUCAAGAAUUCUUUUAUCACUGAUUAUACAGAUAUGAUGCACUUGUUUUUGUCAAAAGAGCCAUGUGCAGAUUUUAAGAGAGCUGGGAAGCAUAUAAGAAGAAACUACAAAAAUGAGGAAGAUAAGAGAUUCAAACCACCUGAUCAAGACCAGGAUAAUCACCAAGACGUCCCUGGCUUUAUCAUCAUCAAAGAAGCACCUCCAGAUGCAGCCUACAAUCCAAAACCGAGCAGAAACAAAUUUGGGAUAAGACUCUUACUUUAUGACAACUUCGCAUGUGCUAACUUGUUUUGUUUCAGUGUGUGUGAAUCGGGUUUGGGGAAUGCAUCAGGAGUAUGGAGAGCCCAACGUAUCAGUUCCUUCUACCAAACAAAUCCAGUCAGCAACAAUGCCUAACAAAGAGGCUUGCAAGGUAAGUGUAAUCUGAUUAUCAACGUUAAUGUUACUGACUUGGCUCCUUUUGUUGCAGAUGAGCUAUUCCCAGUUUGGGAAUAGCACAGCUUCUUCGUCGUUCUAAUCAAACCAGGAUGAAUAACUUUGUAAGAAGCUUUAUUUGGAUACAUAAAGUGGUGGAGAAUCACCAGGAAGUUGAUAUGAUCAUGGACCAGCCAAACAAAGAAGAUAAUGAGAGCAUGGAUGAUCCUGCUGAUGGAGGAGCUCUAGCCAUAUCUGAAGGUCCUAUGACUCGAGCCAGAAGCAAGCAACUCAAAGAAGCCAUUGGAGGAUUACUUAAGACAUCACUGAAGCAAGAAGAGAGUCUUGGAAGAAGCUUGAUCAACCAAGACACACUUGCCACAAUUCAAGCCAUCUCAGCUCCAAGAUAGACAUCAAAUGAGCAAGUAACAUAUGUGUGCUCUUUUUCCCUAUCUUUGGUUUUGUCCCACUGGGUUUUCCAAAGAUAGGUUUUUAAUGAGGCCAUAUGUUGCUUUCCUAUCACUCAUUUGAUGAUCUCAGUUCAAGACUUUAUUUUAAUUAUUUAUCUUUGUUAACAUGAAGCAGAAUUAGGCUGCUAGACUUGAGAAUUAGGCUGCUAGACUUGAGAAUUAAGCUGCCAGACUUGAGAACCCUUAUAAGGUUUUAUAAGGUUUUUAUAAGGUUUUAUAAGGUUUAUUUUUAAGGCCCAUUUAGAGACCAAGGAGCCUGUUCCUUGCCUUCUCUAUAAAUAUGUGUCUGAAAACCCUAAUAGAUCUAUCCAAUCUUUAUUUCUAAACUCUUGUUUCUCUCUAGUCGGCCGCAAGCUUGUCUUGUAGAUCUGAGAUUUCUUGAGUCUUUGUUAGUGUGUCAUAUCUAACAAAACCACAAGAGUGAUUGUCUUGGUGUGUCAUAUCCAAGGGAUUCACUUAGGAGUAUCAAGGAGACCUCUCACAUCUCUUUGUGUCACCAUUCAUUCCACAAACCUUGAAGCAGGUUGAGUCUUUGAUUCUCUGUUUGCAAGGAUCUAUCCCAUUCCAACCAGAGAAGCAUCCUAGGAGUGUAUUAUGUGGUAUCAGAGCAACUCUGGCUAGGGAAGUUCUCGUUUUCUUUAAGUUUUCACUCAAAUCUGUCUCUUGGUUUCAUAACUAUUGAAAGAUCUGAGUUUUGUUGUGUUGUUUCUGUCGAUUUGAUUCACUCUGAGUUCAGUAUUGCUAGAUCUGUUGCUGUGUGUUUUUAAAUUGAUAGAUCUGAAAGUUUCUAUUUUAGAUCUGUGAUAGAUCCGAUCAUCUCUUGUUGUUUCUUUGAUAGAUCUGUGUUUCUAUUGUUGAAAUCUGAUAAAUCUGAGUGUUUUGAUCAUAAAUCUGUUGAAGUCAUUUCAUAUACUCUUUGAUUUCGUGUUGAUCUAUAUUUCUUGUGAAGAAAUCUAUCGAAAUAGGGUUGUUUAAUCUUAUUCCUGGUAUUAGACUCUUCGGAUCCUUGUUGAAGAAGUUUCAGAUUUGUUUUGUUGAAUUGAAUCUGAUAAUUAUUGAGAAAUCGAUCUGUUCUUGUCUUUGGUUGAGUUCGAAAUUGAUCAGAGAAGUUAAAGGUUUGAUUUUUGUCGUUUGAUCAGUUUAUGUUUGGUUCAAAAUUGAUCGUUUCUUUUCUUGUGGUUAUUUGUUUCUGAUUAUCAACUUAUUUUAUUUAGAAUUGAAUUUCAAUUUGUAUCUGUCUCUGUUACAAGUUGAUUGUUUGUUUUCUUUAGAACUUGUUACUGCUGUGUGUUGUUUUCUGUUUCAGGUACCAUGGCAGGUGAUCAGAAAGGAAAACUUACUGAGGAUGAAAGGUUUAUACUUGAAGCAAUGACUACGAGAAUGGAGAAGAUGAUGGACUCCAAACUUGAAUCUUUUCGCCAUGAGCUACAUUCAUCCAAGAAUCAAAGGCAGAAAAGAACAAGAAAAGAAGAAACCAAGAUGGCUGAUUAUGAGAAAAAAAUCAGUAGCAUUGACAAGGAGAUUAUUAACAUCAUCAAGCAUUUAGACAAGCAGAAGAAGCUCAUAAAGCAUCAAGAAUCAGUUUCUACUGUCUCAAAACUUAAAGCUGCAGAACCAGACUUAGCUGCACCUAUCCAAGAAGAUCAGGCCAAAGUAUCUGCUCCUGUCAUUCAAAAAGAAAAGAAACCAGUUCAAGAGGUCAUGGUUCCUAUCAUACAGAAGGUGAUAGAAGAGGAGGCACCCACUGAACCACAAGAAGAUCAUGGAAUGAAUAAGCUGAUUGUCUUUGAUCCAUCUGAUUUUCAAAGGACUUUCUUGAGUACUUUUUUCAUCAGUCCUUUUGUUUGGAACAAGACCAGAGCAGUGGAGCUUUCAAGACACGAAAUGGGCAUGAAGCAUGUUGUAUUUGAGCCUGGAGGAAAGCUGUGUAGUCUCAGGAAAAAGAACCAACUAAUUGAAAAGGAAUCAGCUGCAGCAACAUUUGAUUUUGUUAAUUUCUCAACCUCUGAAGAUAAGGUGUUGCACGCCUCAGCUCAACAGGAAUUUCACUACGAAACCAAUUGGAAAAGGUUACCCACUCUGUCCUGGUUCCAGCAAACCAGAAAGCGCAGCAAAUGGCCACCUGAUCAUCAAGAUAUUACUAGAUUGGCAAAACAUAUCGGUUUGAAUUCAUUCCGAGAGAUGUCUAUGUCUGAUUGGGUUGGAAGAUUACAGACCUACCUGUGGAGACCUGGAGCGUAUGUCAGCAUAUUUAUCUUCCUUGGAGAGCACUCUGUCCGUUCUAGAAUCAUCUUGGGUAAUAAUGAGUUGGAAGCUGAUCAAAACUCCUUGCUUCUCGGCCAUAUCAAGAUAUGGAAACCACCUGAUAUGCAGCAGCUUCAGCACCAUUACAGAGACUAUCAAACCAUGAGUGGAGAUGGAAGAUUCACUGGAGAGAAUGGUGAAGUGAUUACUGGAUCAGGAGAAGAACUCAUAUUUUCUUCUCAAAUCAAGGAGAAACUACCAGAUCAACAUAGCUUACAACAAACUCCAAAGCAACCAAUCCAAGGUCAAACUCUUUUGAGGUCUACACUUUUCAAAAAUAGGAGCUAUAAUAAUCAGAGUACCAGUGAUGAAUUCUUGGCUAAAUUGGGGAUGCAACAAGAAAACCUUGGAAGCUGUCUAGCCGCCAGACUUGACAUAGGAUCAGUCCGAGGAUCAUAUCUCAACAACCACAAGGAAUUAAGCAACGAAACAAACUGCAAUGGAAACCUAACUCAUCAGGGUCUCACGUCGAAUUGGAAUCAUGUCCAAAGCUUCUCAGGUGAGAGAGUUAUGGGUUCUACCACUCAGGUGAUCCUCUGUGUGCUUUAUUUGAAUUUUUCUAAGUUUAUAAAAUCUCAAUCCUAUCUAUGGCGACCAGGUGAGUAUGCAAGGGUAAGUAAUUAUGUUUUCAAGAAUUAUUUUAUUGAUUACACAGAUAUGAUGCACUUGUUUUUGUCAAAAGAGCCAUGUGCAGAUUAUAAGGAAGCUUGGAAGCAAUCAAGGAGAAAGAACAAGCAUGAGGAAGACAAUCGGUUCAAGCCACCUGAUCUGAACAAGAACCAACAUGUCCCUGGUUUUAUCCUCAUCAAAGAAGCUCCCCCAGAUGCAGCCUACAAUCCAAAACUGAGCAAAAACCGAUUUGGGAUAAGACUCUUACUCUUUGAUAAAUUUUCAUUUGCUAACUUGUUGUGUUUCAAUGAGUUUGAAUCAGGUUUUAGGAAUGCAUCAGGAGUAUGGAGAGCCCAACGUAUCAGUUCCUUCUACCAAUCAAAUCCAGUCAGCAACAAUGCCUAUCAAAGAGGCUUGCAAGGUAAGUGUAAUCUGAUUAUCAACGUUAAUGUUACUGACUUGGCUCCUUUUGUUGCAAAUGAGAUAGAUUUGAGGACAAAUCCUUUUCAAGAGGGAGGGGAUGAUAUGAUCAUGGACCAGCCAAACAAAGAAGAUAAUGAGAGCAUGGAUGAUCCAACUGAUGGAGGAGCUCUAGCCAUAUCUGAAGGUCCUAUGACUCGAGCCAGAAGCAAGCAACUCAAAGAAGCCAUUGGAGGAUUACUUAAGACAUCACAGAAGCAAGAAGAGAGUCUUGGAAGAAGCUUGAUCAACCAAGACACACUUGCCACAAUUCAAGCCAUCUCAGCUCCAAGAUAGACAUCAAAUGAGCAAGUAACAUAUGUGUGCUCUUUUUCCCUAUCUUUGGUUUUGUCCCACUGGGUUUUCCAAAGAUAGGUUUUUAAUGAGGCCAUAUGUUGCUUUCCUAUCACUCAUUUGAUGAUCUCAGUUCAAGACUUUAUUUUAAUUAUUUAUCUUUGUUAACAUGAAGCAGAAUUAGGCUGCUAGACUUGAGAAUUAGGCUGCUAGACUUGAGAAUUAAGCUGCCAGACUUGAGAACCCUUAUAAGGUUUUAUAAGGUUUUUAUAAGGUUUUAUAAGGUUUAUUUUUAAGGCCCAUUUAGAGACCAAGGAGCCUGUUCCUUGCCUUCUCUAUAAAUAUGUGUCUGAAAACCCUAAUAGAUCUAUCCAAUCUUU
rnacentral:lncRNA from 1 species